UGGGAAAUAGGUGACUGUGAUAAACGGAGCCUGGGAAGAGGGUGAAGUAGAAGAAGCAAUAUCUUUCCGUCAACGCUGCCGUUAUUCAGUGCCUCUGGCUAUGUCUACGUUGCAGUGUAAAACACUAGGGUUAUUCGGAGUCCAGGCAGCAGACCCAUGUGAGGGAACCCUGGACUUGAGCAUCUACUUUGCAUUUUAAUCCUAAAUUACAAAUUUUCUGUUCUGUGGUGGAAUCUAGGGCUCUAGGCAUCCACGCUGUAGUGCACCCGGACCUGAGUCGAAGUAAACCUGGCCAAGAGUUGAUAGUAUUCCCAUGUCAGCUCUGGAGCCCUAGAAGUGUGGUCCUGUUGGGAUCCAGGAAGUGGGCGGGCAGAAGCAAAAGGACCUCCCCACAGCCUCAGGGGAGGAUCUAUAGGUCCGGGAUUCCAAAUGGUUCUGGGGGACAACUAAAGGUAUAACAGGAACGGGAGUGAGGUCGCAGGGCUAAACGAGGGGAACCUAUGGGGACGCCAAGCAAAAAACCCACUGCUCCUCUAAGGUGUCAAGGGAGCCAGCAGAUGCUGCGCAGAGGAACUCUGCCCGGAUGUGUGGAUGGAUUGAGCAGCGGAAAAUCAUAUAUUUAGGAGGAGCCAGAAUAGAGGCUGCAACCUGACGCAUGCCAGAUAUUCAUGCAUCCAGAGUCUCCCAGGGAGCCGGUGUCUGGGAUGGGAGUGAACUGCGCCAAGUACAUGCCCAUAUGUUCGGUGACAGCAGAUGCAAUAUCUUUGCUCCGAGUUUGUCCUUUGAGUCUUCUUGAGGACCUUGAUCAUUAACAUAUCUGCCAAGUAAGGCAACCUGAGUGAUGUCAUCCACAUCGCAUGUCUCAUUGCAGGGAAUAGAAAAACCUGGUGCUGAUCGAAUGUCACUAACCUGCUGGAUUUUUUCAAACUGUUGGACGUUGGAACAUAUUAGUAAAGACAGAGCACAUCUGCUUCCUUUCCCUGUGGCCUGACGCUUUCCACAGCUCCCAUUGGCCAGGAAUGUCAGCAACGGAGCCAACGUACAGUCAACGUCAGCAAAAUGUCUCGUGGCCUGCAAUCAGAUUACCCUGAUGGGCCACGUGCACCCUGCGGGCCGCAGGUUGCCCACCACUGCACUAUGCCUUGUAACAAUAUAACAAUUAAAUGUGAAAAUAUAUCUGUUAAACAUUUAAUACUAAGCAUCCAACAAGCGCUGAUCAGGCAAUUAUUAGAUAGGUAGGGGGAAGAUCUCACUCAGACCACAAACAUCCAACUUCAUUUACACUUGGCACCCUUACACUCUGGGAUGUUAAGAUAAAAAACUUACAGAAGCCUUCUUAAAAGUCCCUCUGAGUUGUCUUACAAAGGUCCUUCUGCUAUGUCAGUAGCUAGAGAUCGCUGUUCGUAGGGGGUGAAUCACAGAUGAUAGUGGCUGCGUUGGGUGGCCGCUUGCUCCUGCUUAGGUGAAGUUUCUCCUCAUAUGGCAGAUAUGGAAGCCCGAUUGGUAGCUGCUGUGGUGGCUUCCUGCUGGUGGAGUGGCAAAAAUGUCCGUUGCCAGGGCAACCUCAGAACCUUGUGUGGACUGCUGCUGCUUCUGUAAGAGCUGCUUGAGAACAAUGCUCGUGAGCAUGUGCUGUGAAGCUGCUAUAGAAACUAGGGUAGAAGGGCCACUAACUACUUAUAAAAGCUGUUGCUUGUGGCUUGUAAUGUUGCUGCCUUGAGAGUGAUGGCGGCUAGUGAGCAUUGUCAACGCUAGUGAGCGCUGUCGAUGCUCGUGAUAGUAGGUAACUAGCUACUCUGCUUCUGCAAGGCAAUAGUUAGCUUUCUUACCCAGCAGGGUUCCGCUGGUGUGGUUGCCACAACUCUGUGAGCGUCUUCUUCCUUCCAUGUGUCCUGCAGCGUUCCUUUCUCCUUCAGGUCCCUGUCCCCUACAAGAUUUUAGCCUGCUGGUUGUCACCUUCGUAUAUAAUUUCAGCUCAGUAGCUAUUAAUUUAUUAUACUAAUUCAGCCAAUGAGCUUCCAGCGAUUUGCAUAUGCUAAUUUAUGCCCAUGUACUGACAUGUGAUACUCAAGUUCAGCCAAUCAGCUUCCAGAUAUUAGCAUAUGUUAUUAGUAAUUAGCAUAUGCUAAUUAGUCACAUGCACAGAAAACUCCUCCUCUCUCCCAUAGACUUCUAUGGGCUGAAUGUAUUGCUAUGGGGUUUUUCAGCUGACCUUUAGAUGACCCCUAGCUACUUCCUGUCUGGAAGUCUCAUUUGUUUCUAUGGGCUACAAUGUAUUUCUA